GUAUAUAUGUCACUCCCUUGGGUUCGUUGUCGUUUCUGUUCCAGUGUCAUGGCUGUGCGUUGUUUGUGUUUCUUGUUUUGUAUUUAGUUGCGUUUAUUGAUUAAAACACAAACUCCCUGAACUUGCUUCCCGACUCUCAGCACACUAGUUACACACACAGUGAGCUACUACAUACUUAAUUGAGGGACGUAUACUGCCCAUGGGAUUUUAAAUACCAUCUCAGGUGAUUUUGACAUUAUGGAAACUUUAUAGUAACAUUCUAGCCCACUAAGAUACAAUUGUUGAGAUAAGGUGAAUGCACCAAUUUGUAAGUCGCUCUGGAUAAGAGCGUCUGCUAAAUGACUUAAAUGUAAUGUAAAUGUAAAUAAAACCAAUGUUAGCUCAGAUCUUAGCUAUCAGCGGAAUAGCUCUGCAAGGACUGCGACUUCUCCAAUCUGUUCCUUCAAUCGCAUCAACCUGGACUCCAGGGAAGACGUAACACAGUAAAUGCAAAUCCGGGACACUCACUUUAAGUAUGAUAUGUCACGAUUUCAUAUGCCAUGAUCCAAAGGCGAGCUGUAUGUACUACACACGAAUCUCCGCCUGGAAGAUCAAGCAACACCUCGCAAGUAAGAAGAGAGGGGGCAGAGUGGCUGUCAAUCACAGGGGAAGCACAGCUCAUUGGCUGCAUGGAUGACAGAAUGGAUCAAUGGGAUACACCCUCACUCUAUGAAUAGCUCGCCAUUGGUCAGGUAGACAAUGACCUGUCAACUCUGUUCAUGACUGUGAUUAGCAGGGCUACUCAUCCCAAAAAAAUGAACAAUAUUGUGAUUGGUCAAUGCUGCUAGAGAAGAGAUUUCUGAGUUUUAGGCUUUGCCCAAAACGCAUGCUUCCCCAGGUUAAAGAAAACCAUAACACUGAGAUGCAACGCUGGUACAAUGUAAAUACAAUGUGAAUACAAUGUUAGUAGAUAAGGAGAAAGUGUAGGAAAUUAGGCUUAAAAGGUCCAACAGGACUUACCUGGGUGAGCUCGGGGAUAUCAUUUUUGUCAAUUCCGAUGGUCUGUAAAAGAAGAUGUUUACAUUUCAGCUGAGCCUCCAUUUACCAUGUUUGUCAUACAGGCUGCGGAUUGAACUUUUCAACAGUAAAGUGUAUUGUCGGGUU